CAACCUAGUCGUCCUGUCCCUCUACGGAUACUCCCCUUCCUCCCAUUGGCGGUGCUAAAAAGGGAGAGCAGAGAAACUUCUGAACUUUGGGUGAGGAGCCUUCGAUCAAGGCAGAGAGGCUGACCAAAAGAGAGUAACCUGGGGGAAAGACUUCAGCAUACUCGCGGUGGAGUGUGGCAGUCCCAGAGCCAAGCUGGCGUCACACGUCCCUCACAAAGGGGAGGUUGCCCGUGGGAUGAGCCAUCCAGAAACUGCGGUGGUAAGUUUCCUAAUGUAUAAGCAGCGAGCGAGUGCAUCCGACUUCUCCCUUCACCCCAGCUCACCCUGCACAGUGCAAACGAACCCCACAGCAUCCCUGGAAAACCACCCACUGGCUUUUGAACUUGACCGGCACAGGAAUUGGUUGAGUUAUCGAAAGCAGCUGGAAUCAGCCGGAAUACCACAAGCUCUUCGGCAGGUUUCUCGAUGUGAAGUGAAGACCAUUGAAGACCAACAAAAUCACGAUGCAAGAGUGUCCUUUCCCUGUCUGUGGGGUUCUAGUCGUCGCCUUUUUAAUCAUCACGUACCCUCUCAAGCGUCCGUUUCAGCAAAACAUCACACAACACAAACGAGUUUUUAAAAAAAACCAUAAACGUCCACCUCAGUGGGAACUUCA